GAAAGGUGUGUUAAAUGCUGAGCCUGCCAGUGGCUGAAGUCACAAAGCUCCAUUCCUGCCGGGACUUUGCUCCUGUGACUUCACCCCUUUGUCCUGGACAAGAGCAGGAUUCUCCAGGCACGGCCCUCUCAUUGUGGAAAGAGCUGCAGUUCUGCUUCUGGGCCUUUGCUCUUGCUCAGGAAAUUCAGUGUUGGGGGAGUAAGCAGAGCUCCAUAACCUGAAGCCAGUGCAGUAAAAGCUGUCCUGCCAUGGAGGAGUGGGAGGGAGAGUGGCAGGGAAAAAUCCGAGUUAGGGGCCAAGGAUCAUGAAAGCAGAGAAUAGGAUCCGAGUUCCAUUGGCAGUUUCUGUCUGUCGGGCACACGCUGGACCUGAAGGAUCUCGCAGAGUGGCCGCGCUGAUCCUGCUGUCUAGGGAAGCAUUAAGUGAGUACAAGGCAAUUGAAAUCAAGGUUUAGGGAAUGUUACAGGUGUGUUUCCUCAUGGCUCCUCUGGACAAAACUGUAGUACCCGAGUACCCUAAAAGGCCUUAAGAUGCUGCUGCAGAAGUUAUCUUCUGAUUCACUUUUUCACCUCCUCAGAACAUUCAACUCCUUGAAAGACCUUUUCAUUGCAAUUCUUUAUUUAAUAAAUGGAAACUGCAUGGCUUCAUUUUAGGGCUCUUUGUUGUUUGGCCAUGAUAUGAAGGUGUGAAUCUGCAUAUGCAGCAGAUAAGCUG